rnacentral:rRNA from 1 species
UAGAUGAACCGGACGAUUGGGAAGUUAGAGUGGAGUGGGGAGGAGGGGAGGGGCGGCGGCGUCCGGUGGUGGUCACGCGGUGCGGCGGUGUUGUGGCGUAGCGGCGAGCGGCCGCGGGCUCGGGCCAGGAGACGGCGUGUGGAGCGCCGGAACGGCCGCGCGUAGCUGGAGGAUAGGGUCGGUCGGCCGGUGAGUGGUAGGGGCCGCGCCGUCGCUGGUCCGUGGCAGAGGCGGGGGAGCGGAAGCGGGAGUGGCGGCCCAGGCGGGAGACGCCUCCUCUUCUCUAGAUCCUCCGGCUCGCUCCGCUGCUCCCCCUCCGUUCUACUCCUAGUACUAGUUCCCGCCCCACACCUUCUUGUGGCUCCUGCUCUAGGAGUUCCGCCGGCACUACUUCAUGCCGUUCUUGGUCACCCGCGCGUAGAGGAGCGACGAGCAGGCGUUCAGGCGGUUCGUCACGUUCCGGGCGACCAUGCUCACCGAGCUGGGGAGGUAGUUCUUCUGACUCACCUGUUCCCUUCUCCUACUCUUCGACGAGGUAGAACGAUUCGAGUACGGAUGAGUUACCUCCUGAUAACGUGGAUAGCACCCAGCUUGUGGUAGGGUCACGGAGCUCGCAAUACUUUUUAACGAGCUACGACGGACACGUUUCCUACUCUUAAUACUCGGAUUACUACUGGGUUCUUUCAACGCUGGACCCCUCUAACUAGGUUUGGGGCUCAGUUUUGGACGUGCAGGCCUAGGACAACUGUACCUACUUCUACUUUUCCUUUACGAAAGACUCCGUUCCCGAGCGAACCGAUUGUGGUCCCCAUUUUUCCGUUUUGCCUUCCGUUCUCUCUUUGUCGAACUUCUCCGCUCCGCCGAACGUAGUGACGUUUUUUCCUCUCUUGACUUCCGUCGACCAUAACUGUUGGCCGUGUUCUUUUCCUUCUCUUUCCCUUAACUGAUAUUACGACUCUAGGGAAAACUUUUCUCUGGGGGAGGUCCGAAAAUACUAUGUCACCCACUCCUGUCCGGUGAACUCGUACACGUCAAAGGUUGAUGGUAGCUCCUCGAACUUCCCUCCUCUGCUCACCUACAUCUCCGAGUCAAUUCUUUCGUUCUGUAACGGUUCUUGUUCUAAGACGUCUCCGUCCUACGGGGACGGCGUUAUUACGUUCGUUUAUUUGAGUUACUGGGUCUUCGACAGUGUUCUUCCAGGUUUGAUUACGAAGGUGGUGGGGUUUAAAGACUAUAACUUAACCUCCUCUAACGAUUCUACCCGUUACGACCGCUAGGACGAGAUCGGCUCCUCGAACCACUUCCUUCAUGACGAUGAUCCUGUGACGAACGUUUAAUAAGGGUCUGAGGUUCCGAACCAUACUGUGGUAACGCUUGGGGCGUUGCUUGCGGUCCACCCUUUCCACUACGAUAAUACUACCUCCGUCUCUUAGAACGUGCAGAUUCCCUUAGUGUUUGUGGAGAAAAUCCUCCGCUAUUGGGUCUCGAAGUAGGUAGUCUAAAGAGACCGCAAUGUGGUGCAUUCUUUCUCUACGUCUGAGGUUUAGGGUACCGUUGUGGAGACCGAUCGGGACCGGGACCACAAUGGGGUUCCUAACCAUACUGUGGCAGGUCUCUACCUUUAAGGAAACCCAAUUGAGGUUUUCCCUGGGGGAAGUCCCUACUCGAAGUGUAUUUACUUCUCCACCUUUACGUUCUGUCGCGUGUCGAACUCGAAGCAGCCGUUCGUCUCAAUUCUUUUCCAGACGCUAGACCAAAACGAAGAUAAGGUGUCGGAUUCUUACUCAUGGUCUAUCAAUACGGUGGAUAGUGUCUCCUCUUGCUUCUUAGACUUCUCUUUUAACUCCUUCUAUACAGUCUGUCCAAUCGUGCUCUUUCCCGGCUCCUUGUUCGUUCCGUCCUCCGUAACGAGUCUUUCUCCAGGUUUCACAACGUCUCCUCAAACGGAUCCGGUGGACGCCGAAGUCACCUCUAAGAGGCCGUCAGAGACUAAUUUCCACCACUUUCGUCUUCAUGGAAACACGGAGGAUGUAGUGAACUUGUUCGACAACUCGAUUAUUUACUCCUCGAGGAAUCCGAGGAACUCGUACUAUUACGAUUUAUAGGCGAACUACUUGUCUAAGUCUCUCUAUUUUUCUUUCCUUCGUUCGCAGUCCGUUUGUGUCGUCGAAAGCAGAGACUUUAGCUUCCAAAGCUACUCGUACUUGAUUUUCUCCGUUCAAGAUACCAACUCCUCCUCUAAGUCAUAGAAGCACACCGGUACCCGGUACUUUUACUUAGAAAACUCCUAAAACAUUUCAGUGUACUACGUACGGUUCUCCUGGAAUACAAAAAGGGAUGAUUGUUGUCGAUACCAGAACGAUCACAACGACCUUUACGACUAUUUUAAAGACGGAACGUUGUACUCAAACUUUACCACUUCUUCUCUUACCUACUGCUUCGUUUCUUCCGAAGAGCCGAACUCGUCUUCUAGUUCGACGACUGUGUUCCAAUGGUCCGCGCCCGACGUUUUAACCCCAGUGUCUAGGUCCUGUGGAAGUUCGUCUACUUAUGACGCCGUUGUCUUGAACUUACGAAGGUUCUCAACGUCUUUGUUCUUGUCUACCGACCACGGAUAGCACACUCUUUAAACCGACUUCUUCACUUAUUUGUCUUCCGUGACCUUGUCUGAGAGGUUUCGGCGAUACCACUAGACAACAGACCAAUGGUCUCGUAGGUUCCUGUUGAACUCCUCGUGUUCUCCGAUGAAUUGGAUGUCUUCCUCCGUUAUCUCCGUCUUUUGGCACGGUUCCUCCUCCUUCGACGUCGAGUUUUAGCGCGGUUCCUUCUCCUUCGACGUCGAGUUUCAGCACGGUUCCUCCUUCGACGUCGAGUUUUAGCGCGGUUCCUCCUCCUUCGACGUCGAAAUUUAACGCCGUUCCACCUCCUUCGAAGUCGAGUUCUACCACGACGACUCCUUCUUUUACUCUCCUUCUUAGUGCCGUAACUUCUCCUUAGUCCUGUCUGGUCCCAACGGUUACUUCUUCGACGUCCUUCGUUUCUUUAGUAGCCCCUAGUCUACCUACACCUGUUGCGUCUACGUCGACCUCUUGAACAUCCAGGCUAAGGAGGAGACGGCCUACGAGUUCACCUAUUACUACCUCGAAGUCAACUUGUCUCAUGAAGAUUGCGAUUCUCACCACUCUUGCAACGGUACUUACUCCCUCGACAACUGUUCCAACUAAGCAGGUUUAAUCUACCAGUUCUGUUAUGGUUACCAUCGUACCUACAACUACGACCAUCGGUCCUUCUCCCUUUGUUACAAGGACGGCGAGGACUACGAUGUUAACAUCUACAUCCCUUGUGUGGACAUAGAAGUCUAGUUCGACAGAGCUUACUUCUCUCACUGCACCAGGGACUUACUUUGUAGAUGGUGUAUGGAGUAGACGCCGCGUACAGUGUUCGUACUACUCCUUCCAUUGAUCUUUGUCCUACGUCAACGUUUCACACUUUGACAUACACAACCAUUUUAACACCUACCUUCGUUUAACCUACAAGUUCCGACAUCUGAUAAUGAAAAGUGAGGAAGGCUUGUGCGAACACACGGUACAAAUAAAACAGUAAAAAGCAGUCCGUAAAAAGUCAAAGACAACCAGACUUUUAAAUAAACCUUCCAUCUUUGGACUGUAAACGUAAAAAGACAACUUUUAUACUUGAACUCCUUUUUUUUCUCUUAUACGUUUAUAACCUACAAACACG